UAUGCACGGCUGUUCUGCGUAUAUUAAGAUGAAACCUGAAAUCGAAACUUUCAUCAGCUAGUAUCGCUUUAAAGCCUAAAUCUUUCCCUUUGUUCCUGCAGUGCAAGACCAUUCCUUCACGUGUGACCAAUUUGUUAGUGAUCAUAACAUGUUUAGGUAAGAAUGGCACAUCUCCAUUGACAGAGUGUUCAAGUGAUAAAGAAGUUCUUAAAAUAAUUAGAUAUGUUAUUAACACGAAAAUGAGGUGACGGUUUGUUAAGGAUACCAUGGAUGCCUUUUACUGGUUUG
rnacentral:lncRNA from 1 species